GGCCUAAUGGCCCAAUGGCAAGGCGCUUGACUACGAUCCACAACGUGGGUACAUCAAGAGAUUCCAGGUUCGACCCCUGGUUAGGUCA